rnacentral:tRNA from 1 species
UGUGGGUGAGAAGGUUCAAGUAUACAUUACACGUCCCCUCCCAAGGCAAUGGAAGUUAGCAGUUGUCCGUA